rnacentral:misc_RNA from 1 species
AACAGCAUUCACAAUUACUAGAUUCCUGUAUAUCACAAGCACACAUAAAGCAAACUGUGCUUUAUUGCCCAGCGCAGCUUUUAUCCCAAGCACUGACAAGAAUUUUCAAGAGUAAAAAAUUCAGCCUUAAACAACAACAAUCCCACUUUAACUGCGGCUCAUCUUUUAUAACCUAAAACAAUUCCUUUGUUGGAGGUAUUACUUCUCCAACAUUUGCUAUAAACUUGUCAAGGGAAACUUAAAAGGAUGCUAGAAUCAGAAUGAUGCAACUCCAACCUCUCAAAAAGAAGCCAUGGACCCAGAACAGAAUUUGGUUCAGAAUUUUCUCUAGAACACAUAACCAAUAUCAACUAUAACAGUAUAGUUAUUAUAUUGGUUUACUUGCCAAGAUAAACCACAGAGGUUUUUGCUUAUUGACAAAACCAACUUUAUCUGUCACGUGACAUGUCAUCAAUUUCAGAUUUUAGAGAAAGAUUCAUGCAUAUUACAAAGCUGAAAUAUAAUAACUUUGAUGAAGA